CUGCUGCCUCCCGUAGGAGUCUGGGCCGUGUCUCAGUCCCAGUGUGGCUGGUCGUCCUCUCAGACCAGCUACUGAUCGUUGCUUUGGUGAGCCGUUACCUCACCAACAGGCUAAUCAGUCAUCGGCCGCUCCGCUCGCGAGAGGCCCUUGCGGGUCCCCCUCUUUCUUCCGUAGAACUCAUGCGGUAUUAGCCAACCUUUCGGCUGGUUGUCCCCCACGAGCGGACACGUUCCGAUGUAUUACUCACCCGUUCG
rnacentral:rRNA from 1 species